UACGGGGGGGGCAAGCGUUGUUCGGAAUUACUGGGCGUAAAGGGCUCGUAGGCGGCCCUCUCAGUCGGAUGUGAAAUCCCCAGGCUUAACCUGGGAACGGCAUCCGAUACUGGAGGGCUUGAAUUCGGGAGAGGGAUGCAGAAUUCCAGGUGUAGCGGUGAAAUGCGUAGAUAUCAGGAGGAACACCGGUGGUGUAGACGGCUUUCUGGACAGUAACUGACGCUGAGACACGAAAGCGUGGGGAGCAAACAGG
rnacentral:rRNA from 1 species